rnacentral:rRNA from 1 species
AGAUUGAACGCUGGCGGCAUGCCUUACACAUGCAAGUCGAACGGCAGCACGGGAGCAAUCCUGGUGGCGAGUGGCGAACGGGUGAGUAAUAUAUCGGAACGUGCCCAGUCGUGGGGGAUAACGUAGAGAAAUUUACGCUAAAUACCGCAUACGAUCCAAGGAUGAAAGCGGGGGACCGUAAGGCCUCGCGCGACUGGAGCGGCUGAUAUCAGAUUAGCUUGUUGGUGAGGUAAAAGCUCACCAAGGCGACGAUCUG